UACGAAGGGUGCAAGCGUUAAUCGGAAUUACUGGGCGUAAAGCGCGCGUAGGUGGCUUCGUAAGUCCGUUGUGAAAGUCAAAGGCUCAACCUUUGAAAGCCGAUGGAUACUGCGGAGCUAGAGUACGGAAGAGGCGAGUGGAAUUCCUGGUGUAGCGGUGGAAUGCGCAGAUAUCAGGAGGAACACCGAUGGCGAAGGCAGGUCUCUGGGCAUUAACUGACGCUGAGGAGCGAAAAGCUGGGGAGCAACAG
rnacentral:rRNA from 1 species